rnacentral:lncRNA from 1 species
UAGGCAGUGAUGUGUUGUAACAUGUUCCUGGAGCACUUCCUCACCGUCUGUCUCCCUAGCUGGAUUAUCACUCCACUCCGAGAGAGGGGUUCCAAUUUGCAAUUGUAAAUUGUCUUUUUUCCCCCUUUUCACUCCACAUGCAGGGACUCUGACAGCUUGAAGGGACUGUCGUGGUGUGCAGUGAGCAUGGCUUGUUUUCCACACGGCACAAAACACAUUCCCUCUGGAGUCCCUGGGGGGAUGGGGACAGUCCCCAGGGGUGCUGGGUGGGCGGUGGAGGCCAGGUGAGUAGGAGGCUGCGAGGGAGGGAGGCAGACGCUAGACACACAGUCUUUCUCCAAGUUGACCUCGGGCUGAUUCCUGGACUCGACCCUGGACUCCUCCAGAGAAUCGAGAGCCCAUCCUGAUGAGCUCAUGUGUGCAAUGAGGGGUCCUGUCUUUGUGAUGUCAGCGUGAAGUGGAAUUCGCAGAAUGGCUAAAGUGGAGGGAAGACUUAAAAUGCAUUGGAUGAUGAUAGCAGCGUCAUUUACAAUCACCACGACUUGGAAGCAGCCGAGAUGUCCUUUGGCAGAUGAUUGGAGAAAUGAACUGUGGCACGUCCAUGCAGACCAUGAAAUACUAUUCAGUGCUAAAAAUGAGUGAGCUUUCCAUCCAUGAAAAGACAUAGAGAAACCUGAAAUGCAGAUCACAAAGUGAAAGGCCAAUCUGGAAAGGCUACACACCCUAUGACUCCAACCUGUGACAUUCCCAAAGAGGGAUUUUUCCAAAGAGGAAAAAUUAUGGGGACAGUAAAAAGAGGAGCUGCCAUCAUUAGGGAAGCAGGAGUUGAGGAGAGUCAGAGUGACACCACUGAAAAAUCUUCUCUGUCUUGAGACUAACAAGGUACCUUCCUUGCCAGUCACAACCCAUGGUCCUAAGAUGGUCACAGCUAAGGAGGCAGCUUGGUACUGCCUGCAAGGACAAACUCCUAAAACAACAGAAAGCCCAGAUGUCCCAAUACCCAUAGCAAUAUGUGCUUUCAAGAUAAUUAUAGAUGUGCUUUGAUGUACUCAUGUACUAGACUGUUAAGGAUAGUUUUCUUUAAAUCAGUAGCAUAAUCAAUUUUGUCAUGCUGUCUGCUCCCCCUCACAGAGUCGCAGCUUGGUUUAGUCAUUACGUAGACAAGACCCCUAUAUAAGAAAAACUUAAAACAAAGACGGUGCAUUCUCUCGGAAGGUCCCGUGCUCUGUAAUGGAGUAGGUUUUAAUAAACGUGCUUCCUUCGCUGCACCUUGUGACUCGC